rnacentral:rRNA from 1 species
AGUGAACGCUGGCGGUAGGCCUAACACAUGCAAGUCGAACGGCAGCACAGUAAGAGCUUGCUCUUACGGGUGGCGAGUGGCGGACGGGUGAGGAAUACAUCGGAAUCUACUUUUUCGUGGGGGAUAACGUAGGGAAACUUACGCUAAUACCGCAUACGACCUACGGGUGAAAGCAGGGGAUCUUCGGACCUUGCGCGAUUGAAUGAGCCGAUGUCGGAUUAGCUAGUUGGCGGGGUAAAGGCCCACCAAGGCGACGAUCCGUAGCUGGUCUGAGAGGAUGAACAGCCAAAAUGGAAACGAGAAAAGGUACAGAAACCUACGGGAGGGAAGAGGGGGGAAAAAUGGAAAAAGGGGGGAAAGCUGAAACAAGCAAAACGGGGGGGGGAAAAAAGGCUUGGGGGUGGAAAAGCCUUUUGGUGGGGAAAAAAAGGAGGAAGGUAAAAACCCGGCGGUUUGAAGGUAACCAAAAAAAAAGGAACGGGUAAAUUCGUG